rnacentral:rRNA from 1 species
GCUAACACAUGCAAGUCGAGCGGAUGAAGGGAGCUUGCUCCUGGAUUCAGCGGCGGACGGGUGAGUAAUGCCUAGGAAUCUGCCUGGUAGUGGGGGAUAACGUCCGGAAACGGGCGCUAAUACCGCAUACGUCCUGAGGGAGAAAGUGGGGGAUCUUCGGACCUCACGCUAUCAGAUGAGCCUAGGUCGGAUUAGCUAGUUGGUGGGGUAAAGGCCUACCAAGGCGACGAUCCGUAACUGGUCUGAGAGGAUGAUCAGUCACACUGGAACUGAGACACGGUCCAGACUCCUACGGGAGGCAGCAGUGGGGAAUAUUGGACAAUGGGCGAAAGCCUGAUCCAGCCAUGCCGCGUGUGUGAAGAAGGUCUUCGGAUUGUAAAGCACUUUAAGUUGGGAGGAAGGGCAGUAAGUUAAUACCUUGCUGUUUUGACGUUACCAACAGAAUAAGCACCGGCUAACUUCGUGCCAGCAGCCGCGGUAAUACGAAGGGUGCAAGCGUUAAUCGGAAUUACUGGGCGUAAAGCGCGCGUAGGUGGUUCAGCAAGUUGGAUGUGAAAUCCCCGGGCUCAACCUGGGAACUGCAUCCAAAACUACUGAGCUAGAGUACGGUAGAGGGUGGUGGAAUUUCCUGUGUAGCGGUGAAAUGCGUAGAUAUAGGAAGGAACACCAGUGGCGAAGGCGACCACCUGGACUGAUACUGACACUGAGGUGCGAAAGCGUGGGGAGCAAACAGGAUUAGAUACCCUGGUAGUCCACGCCGUAAACGAUGUCGACUAGCCGUUGGGAUCCUUGAGAUCUUAGUGGCGCAGCUAACGCGAUAAGUCGACCGCCUGGGGAGUACGGCCGCAAGGUUAAAACUCAAAUGAAUUGACGGGGGCCCGCACAAGCGGUGGAGCAU